CAUCGUUCGAACCACAUCUCGCAAAGAAUAUUUCAAUUAACAUUUUCUAAAACGUACAACAAUGUGUUGGCUUAGUGGUUAUAUUUGUACGAACAAUGAUUGUAAGCUUCCAUUUUAUUCCGUAACCGAUAAGAAAGAACAAGUGCCUAAAUCGUGCCUAACAUGUGGUUCCAUUGCUCGAUGCGUAUAUCAGAUUGAACCUACAUUAGAAGUCAUUGAGAAAAUCGCAUUUAACCCCAACUCCAUAUAUAGACUGUAGAAAGUUUGAUUCCAAAAUUAUGAUGGACAGCCAUAUAUAUUGAACAACUAGACAUCAUAUCCGUCAGCAGUGGUGUCAUUAAAACGUAAAAAUGUAAAAGUAAUUAGAGAAAAAUGUUCAAUAAAACAUAAAAUAAAAACAAGUGUUUUCGGUUCAAA